CAGCGCGAGACUCUGUCUCACAAAACAAACAAACAAAACAAAAAACCUUCAGCAGCAGGCUGGCUCUUGCUGGGAGACUGGAAAGUUUUUAAAAAAUCAGGACCCAAUCCAGUUUUCUUUCAGAGAAAGAAACCAGAUCUUUCUCCUCCAGGUCAGUCGUAUGCCAGGAGGCUUGGCCCAUUUCCCCUUGGUACCUCCACUCCGGUGGCCAACACCCCCUCAUUUUCCUACCAUUGGCUGACUUUACAGUCCUGCAGCAGUUACCUCCAUUUCUUCCCCAAUUGCCUUUUACACUUGAAAAGUCAAGAUGUUUUCGGAAAGUAAAGAGCAGUCUCUCUCUAAGAGCAAUUCUGCACUCCUUCUUAGAACAAUUGCUUCCAACAGUAGCCACCUUCUGUUUUCACAAAUUUGCCACCAGCACAAUUAUAAAAGGGCAGGGUCGGGGGAGAUGGGGAAGACUUAUCCUCCCAUGCCUUCUAUUUUCUCUACUGAGUAGGAGACAAGAUCACUUGCUGAAAAGUAGGAGAAAGAUGGAGAGUCAUGUUUGAGGAGUGUGGAGACAGUCCUAAGUAACUGCUACUGGGAAUGGAAGAGAGGAUGAAAUGAGGAAGGCUGGGGACCACGGUUUGGUAGUGACAUUGUCUGCCCCAGAUGAACUCAGCACCCAGGUGUACAGACUGGGAAGGUAAAUUUAGCCAGAGUUAAGGUUCUUCUAAGUGGAUGAACAAAAGGAAAAUGGGAAACUGGAAUUUAAGUUUUGGCAAGAGGGAAGUUGAAAAGCCGGCCCAUGGAAUGUAGCUGGAUGUGUGAACUGGGACCCUUGAUUUUGAAUAAUAGAAGCCAACCCAUACUAGUACAAACAAAAAGGGAAUUUAACUGCUAGUAACUGGGAAGCACAGGGGUGACAGGAGCUAAGGGCUCAGAUGGCAUCAUCGGGUCUCUCCAUUCUCAUUCCACCAUCCAGCCUGGUGUUUCUCCAUGGGCAGAAUGAGGGAAGGCCAUGGUCACAAGAACUCCCACUUGUAUCACCCCAGGACAAAGCCACAGAAAAUGAUGUGUUCUGUCUCCCAUUGUGGAUGAAAAAAAUCCGGGGGGAAGACUCUGAUUGGCCUGGCCUGGCUCACGUGAUUACUCCAGGCUCGGAAGGUGGGCACUCAGGGGUGCAGCCCACAGGUCCUUCAGUUUCCAGUGGGGAAGAAGCUCUCCCAUCACAUCUUGAAGAAAGAGAAUGUUGCUACUAGAAGCAGGCACCAGAAAGAAACAACAUCCACCCACUUCAAGAGAAGCAAAUGAGGACAGAAGGAGGCUGAGAGAUGGAAAGAAAGUAGAAAGCAAAGAGCCUGGUAAUGGUUCCCGGUGGGGUGGGGUGGCCAAAAGUCCCACGGGCCUCUUAGGAUGUGGCUUGGCUCCCAUGGGUUUGGGUUGCUACAGGAGGUCUGGUCUCUGGUGGAUGAAGGAUGGUAGAGUUGCUGCAAAAGCAAAGACAUUGGGAUCCAGUGGAGCCAGAUUAGAAUCUCAGGUAUGAUAUUUACAGGCUAUGUGCCUGAGACAAAUCCUUCACUUCUCUGAGGCAUCCAUUCUUUAUCUGCAGAAGGGAAAUACAUUUACAUUGUGGGAUGAUCAAGGGCAUUAACCAAAAUCGGAUAUUAAAAUUCCUAUAAAGUGUCUCAGUGCAAGCAACCAACAAAUAUUAGUGUCCCUCCCCACUUGAAAAUUCAAAUUGCCACGCCCAUGAAUUUCCUUCAAAUUCUGUUACAUAAUGACCUGCUAAAGGAGGCAAAAGCAGUGCUGCGCACCUAGCAAAUUCUCAACAAAUAUUGAAGUGAAUGAUGAAUGAAUGAAUGCAUAUAAAAUGAAGCCUCUUUUAAACAAUCAUCCCAUCAUUAACAGAAGACAUAUUGCUCUUUUAACUGUGUUUUCUGUUGUUUUGGUGAUGCUAGUCUUUAACACUGGAAUAACUAUACAGUGGCGUCCUUGUCUGAAGAAAUGAUCAGUUUCUGAAGGGUCAAGUUGCAAUACCUAUCAUCAUGCUUUCUCUCCCCAUUUUAGGAAAUACUUUGCUAUUCAAAUGGGGAAUGGCUAACUAUCCAGUGAAUUUCUCCUGCUGGUGCUGUUGCCAGCAGGUUGAGCCCAAAGGACUUUAGAGGCACUGCUGCUGCACCUGCAGUGGGAUUAGCUGUCAGGGCAGCCUCCAGGGUGGUAGGAACAGCUGAGUGGUGCUCCGUAUGCAGCUGCUCUCAGCAGUCAGGUUUAUUCACAGGCUUCCCCAAGGUUCAGAGCUAUGCUGAGCACUGACCACAAGUAAAGAGGCCAGUCCUCACCAUUGUCAAUGAGCCUGUUAUCCAAUUGGGAGUUAGAUCAGAUAUUUUCCUGUAUUAGUUUCCUGUUACUGCCAUAACAAAUAACAGCAAACCAGAGCCUUAAAACAAUAUAAAUGUAUCGUUUCCCAGUUUUAGAGCUAGAAACUCAAAACCUCAAAACCAAGGUGUCAGCAUGGCCAUGCUCUCUCAGAAGGUGCUAGGGGAGGGUCCCUUCUUGCCUCAUCCCAGCUUCAGGUGGUUGCCAGCAAUCCUUAGCCGUCCUGGUCCUCAAGCUACAUUACUUCAAUCUCUGCCUCCCUCAUCGCUGUGAAUCUAUUUGUGUCCAAAUUGCUGCCUUUCGGUAUAAGGACACCAGUUACUGGGUUAGGACCUACUCCAAUUCAAUAUGACUUCAUCCUAAUUUGAUUACAUCUGCAAAUACCCUAUUUCCAAAUAUCUUUUGGGAAGACAAAAUUCAACCCAUAGCACUUCCUAAUGAAUAUUUCUUAUAUUCAUGAAAAGACUGUAAGCAAGAACUAGAUGCCACACAGGUGAAAUUCAUGUUAAAUCCAGGGAAGUAGAGAGUUACCUUGAGUGAGACGAGGGAGUAGUAAAUCUUGAAUAAUGGUUAGGAGUUAGGUAGAUAGGAGGAUAAGGACGUGUUAUCAUCAUAAGAACCACUUCUUGAUGAUCUACUCUGUAUUAGACAUUGUGCUGGAUGCUUAGAUGCUUUGAAUACAUGAUCUCUAAUCCCCCAUUCUCUACAAUCUAUUAGAAAAUGGAUUCUGAAGAUGUAACAUGACUUUUUCGAAGUCACACAGUUGGAUGGUGGUAAGGAGAGAAUUUUUACCCAGGUCCAACUGAUGCAAAAGCAUUCUGGCUUAAAACCCAGUCCACUGCACUGCACAGGCUCCUAGGUGGCAACAGGGAGUGAAAAUGUGAUGUGAGUGCUAUGAGUAUGUUGUAGAGGAUCGACAUCACCUGUCUGGCCUGAAUGACAGCCUCCUGCUGGGAGGGCAGCUGAUGAGCUGGACAGGUAGGUCAGAACCACGUGGUGAAGGCUUCCCUGUCACAAUCCCUAUCUAGGAGUUGCUAGAAUAAGGGAGCCCCGGAAGUGAAUUAGCAGGACAGUCCUGUUCCAGCUGCCAGUCAUGAGACAGGGGGUGGAAAAUAUGUGUGAGAAAAAAAAUGUGUGUUACUCAGAUUGCACAUUGGAGACGAUUGCUGUAAUUCCUCAAGCUUUCAACAAGGACAAUGGAAAGAGCCAGCAGAUGUAUUCUGGUCCCAUUUCCGGUACUGCAUGGUCUUAGGCAAAUCCCUUAGUCUUUCUGUGACUCAGUUUUCUCUUCUCCCAAAGGAUGAUAAUGAUGCCUGCCUGAGCCUCCUCGAGGUAUCACUGGGAGGGCCACCAGGAUAAUGUGUUUGGAAGUAUUACUACGGACCUAAGAGCCUUGGCAAGACACUGUUGGUGGCCAUCUUGAAGCACGGCCCUUCCCUGCAAUUGCUUUAGAAUUAAUGAAAAAGACAAAAAGUUAAUGUAAAUGUCAUUUUAAAAGACAAAUAAUGUAAUUAGAUUUGGGUGUUCUGGUUUUUUCCUGGGUGGUGGGGAAGGGUCUACGCAGACAAUGGUAUGUGUUCGAGUCACAGGGCCUGGGUUGGAAUCUCACCUCCACCACUUGAUAGCAGUGUGAAGGUUUCUGUCAGUCUCUUGUGUUCUGAGUUUAAUCUUUCCUGUGGGUAAAAUGGGUGCAGUCAGUACACAGGGACUUUCCAUGAAGACUAAAUUCAAUCCAAUAUGUGUAGUACCUGAUGUAACAGAUAUUUGAUUAAUAUCUACUGUUGUUAUUAUUAUAGAAUGGAAUGAGUUUCCUUGUCUUAUCAUCCUCUUUUUCCAGGCACUAACAAGAAACAUCUGCUUUGCUUGGGGAGAAAACAAAGGGUGAGUAAGCUAUUCUCUCCUUUGGGCAGAAUAAAGUCUUGUCUUCAAUAGUUUCCUUUGUGCAAAUAUUUGUUCUAGACUAUUUUGUUUACUAACAAUGGGGCUGUUCGGAAUGUGUGGUUUUCAUGAGUUUCAGAGAAUCUUCUUUAUUCCUCUUCUCUGAGUUUUAUUUGGGCUAUGACGUUCCAAGGGCCGGCUCUGAGGCCAGCCAGCCUGCAGACCUCUUGUGACAGGACCACAAGGUCCCGCCUGGCUCUCUCCUCCACCCUCUUCUGGCUUGCUGGGCCUCCUGGAGCUCACAAAAGGAAGAUUUUCCUUCUGAGCAUCCAGCUGGUGACUCUUGGAAUGGACUGUGAUUUUACCUCUGUUGGGUGUGCCUCCAUCCUCCUAGGGACAGAAUUCUGAACAUCCCAACUGGAGGCCCAUUUCCCUAGAAUGUAACCUUCCAGGACCAGAAUUCUCUCCUUUUCAGCAGCACUGAAUAAAUAUAACAGAGUUGUCAGUUAAAUUUUCCAGGACUCCCUGUUAAAUUUGAAUUUAAGACAAACAAUAAAUAAUAUUUUAGUAUAA